rnacentral:rRNA from 1 species
AUUGAACGCUGGCGGCAGGCCUAACACAUGCAAGUCGAACGAGCGGCGGACGGGUGAGUAAUGUCUGGGAAACUGCCUGAUGGAGGGGGAUAACUACUGGAAACGGUAGUUAAUACCGCAUACUAUCAGAUGAGCCCAGAUGGGAUUAGCUGGUUGGUGGGGUAACGGCUCACCAAGGCGACGAUCCCUAGCUGGUCUGAGAGGAUUACCAGCCACACUGGAACUGAGACACGGUCCAGACUCCUACGGGAGGCAGCAGUGGGGAAUAUUUCACAAUGGGGGCAAGCCUGAUGCAGCCAUGCCGCGUGUAUGAAGAAGGCCUUCGGGUUGUAAAGUACUUUCAGCGGGGAGGCGUUAACCACAGAAGAAGCACCGGCUAACUCCGUGCCAGCCGCCGCGGUAAUUC